rnacentral:rRNA from 1 species
CUCAACCUGGGAAUGGCAUUCCAAACUGGCGGGCUCGAGUCCGGGAGAGAGAGGCAGAAUUCCCCGUGUAGCGGUGAAAUGCGUAGAUAUGGGGAGGAAUACCGGUGGCGAAGGCGGCCUCCUGGCCCGGUACUGACGCUGAGGUGCGAAAGCGUGGGUAGCGAACCGGAUUAGAUACCCGGGUAGUCCACGCCGUAAACGAUGAGGACUAGGUGUUGGGUGGUACGCCCACUCAGUGCCGAAGCUAACGCGUUAAGUCCUCCGCCUGGGGAGUACGGCCGCAAGGCUAAAACUCAAAGGAAUUGACGGGGGCCCGCACAAGCGGUGGAGCAUGUGGUUUAAUUCGAUGCAACGCGAAGAACCUUACCGGGGCUUGACAUCAUCCGGGACCUGCUAGAGAUAGCGGGGUGCCUUCGGGAGCCG